GACGAACGCUGGCGGCGUGCUUAACACAUGCAAGUCGAACGGAAAGGCCCUGCUUUUGUGGGGUGCUCGAGUGGCGAACGGGUGAGUAACACGUGAGUAACCUGCCCUUGACUUUGGGAUAACUUCAGGAAACUGGGGCUAAUACCGGAUAGGAGCUCCUGCUGCAUGGUGGGGGUUGGAAAGUUUCGGCGGUUGGGGAUGGACUCGCGGCUUAUCAGCUUGUUGGUGGGGUAGUGGCUUACCAAGGCUUUGACGGGUAGCCGGCCUGAGAGGGUGACCGGCAACAUGGGACUGAGAUACGGCCCAGACUCCUACGGGAGGCAGCAGUGGGGAAUAUUGCACAAUGGGCGGAAGCCUGAUGCAGCAACGCCGCGUGCGGGAUGACGGCCUUCGGGUUGUAAACCGCUUUCGCCUGUGACGAAGCGUGAGUGACGGUAAUGGGUAAAGAAGCACCGGCUAACUACGUG
rnacentral:rRNA from 1 species